AGAGUUUGAUCCUGGCUCAGGACGAACGCUGGCGGCGUGCCUAAUACAUGCAAGUCGAGCGGACAGAAGGGAGCUUGCUCCCGGAUGUUAGCGGCGGACGGGUGAGUAACACGUGGGUAACCUGCCUGUAAGACUGGGAUAACUCCGGGAAACCGGAGCUAAUACCGGAUAGUUCCUUGAACCGCAUGGUUCAAGGAUGAAAGACGGUUUCGGCUGUCACUUACAGAUGGACCCGCGGCGCAUUAGCUAGUUGGUGGGGUAAUGGCUCACCAAGGCGGCGAUGCGUAGCCGACCUGAGAGGGUGAUCGGCCACACUGGGACUGAGACACGGCCCAGACUCCUACGGGAGGCAGCAGUAGGGAAUCUUCCGCAAUGGACGAAAGUCUGACGGAGCAACGCCGCGUGAGUGAUGAAGGUUUUCGGAUCGUAAAGCUCUGUUGUUAGGGAAGAACAAGUGCGAGAGUAACUGCUCGCACCUUGACGGUACCUAACCAGAAAGCCACGGCUAACUACGUGCCAGCAGCCGCGGUAAUACGUAGGUGGCAAGCGUUGUCCGGAAUUAUUGGGCGUAAAGGGCUCGCAGGCGGUUUCUUAAGUCUGAUGUGAAAGCCCCCGGCUCAACCGGGGAGGGUCAUUGGAAACUGGGAAACUUGAGUGCAGAAGAGGAGAGUGGAAUUCCACGUGUAGCGGUGAAAUGCGUAKAGAUGUGGAGGAACACCAGUGGCGAAGGCGACUUUCUGGUCUGUAACUGACGCUGAGGAGCGAAAGCGUGGGGAGCGAACAGGAUUAGAUACCCUGGUAGUCCACGCCGUAAACGAUGAGUGCUAAGUGUUAGGGGGUUUCCGCCCCUUAGUGCUGCAGCUAACGCAUUAAGCACUCCGCCUGGGGAGUACGGUCGCAAGACUGAAACUCAAAGGAAUUGACGGGGGCCCGCACAAGCGGUGGAGCAUGUGGUUUAAUUCGAAGCAACGCGAAGAACCUUACCAGGUCUUGACAUCCUCUGACAACCCUAGAGAUAGGGCUUUCCCUUCGGGGACAGAGUGACAGGUGGUGCGUGGUUGUCGUCAGCUCGUGUCSUGAGAUGUUGGGUUAAGUCCCGCAACGAGCGCAACCCUUGAUCUUAGUUGCCAGCAUUCAGUUGGGCACUCUAAGGUGACUGCCGGUGACAAACCGGAGGAAGGUGGGGAUGACGUCAAAUCAUCAUGCCCCUUAUGACCUGGGCUACACACGUGCUACAAUGGACAGAACAAAGGGCUGCAAGACCGCAAGGUUUAGCCAAUCCCAUAAAUCUGUUCUCAGUUCGGAUCGCAGUCUGCAACUCGACUGCGUGAAGCUGGAAUCGCUAGUAAUCGCGGAUCAGCAUGCCGCGGUGAAUACGUUCCCGGGCCUUGUACACACCGCCCGUCACACCACGAGAGUUUGCAACACCCGAAGUCGGUGAGGUAACCUUUAUGGAGCCAGCCGCCGAAGGUGGGGCAGAUGAUUGGGGUGAAGUCGUAACAAGGUAACC
rnacentral:rRNA from 1 species